rnacentral:rRNA from 1 species
AGAAGGCUAUGUUGGCCGGGCGACGGUUGUCCCGGUUUAAGCGUGUAGGCUGGUUUUCCAGGCAAAUCCGGAAAACCAAGGCUGAGGCGUGAUGACGAGGCACUACGGUGCUGAAGCGACAAAUGCCCUGCUUCCAGGAAAAGCCUCUAAGCAUCAGGUAACAUCAAAUCGUACCCCAAACCGACACAGGUGGUCAGGUAGAGAAUACCAAGGCGCUUGAGAGAACUCGGGUGAAGGAACUAGGCAAAAUGGUGCCGUAACUUCGGGAGAAGGCACGCUGAUAUGUAGGUGAAGCGACUUGCUCGUGGAGCUGAAAUCAGUCGAAGAUACCAGCUGGCUGCAACUGUUUAUUAAAAACACAGCACUGUGCAAACACGAAAGUGGACGUAUACGGUGUGACGCCUGCCCGGUGCCGGAAGGUUAAUUGAUGGGGUUAGCGGUAACGCGAAGCUCUUGAUCGAAGCCCCGGUAAACGGCGGCCGUAACUAUAACGGUCCUAAGGUAGCGAAAUUCCUUGUCGGGUAAGUUCCGACCUGCACGAAUGGCGUAAUGAUGGCCAGGCUGUCUCCACCCGAGACUCAGUGAAAUUGAACUCGCUGUGAAGAUGCAGUGUACCCGCGGCAAGACGGAAAGACCCCGUGAACCUUUACUAUAGCUUGACACUGAACAUUGAGCCUUGAUGUGUAGGAUAGGUGGGAGGCUUUGAAGUGUGGACGCCAGUCUGCAUGGAGCCGACCUUGAAAUACCACCCUUUAAUGUUUGAUGUUCUAACGUUGGCCCGUAAUCCGGGUUGCGGACAGUGUCUGGUGGGUAGUUUGACUGGGGCGGUCUCCUCCUAAAGAGUAACGGAGGAGCACGAAGGUUGGCUAAUCCUGGUCGGACAUCAGGAGGUUAGUGCAAUGGCAUAAGCCAGCUUGACUGCGAGCGUGACGGCGCGAGCAGGUGCGAAAGCAGGUCAUAGUGAUCCGGUGGUUCUGAAUGGAAGGGCCAUCGCUCAACGGAUAAAAGGUACUCCGGGGAUAACAGGCUGAUACCGCCCAAGAGUUCAUAUCGACGGCGGUGUUUGGCACCUCGAUGUCGGCUCAUCACAUCCUGGGGCUGAAGUAGGUCCCAAGGGUAUGGCUGUUCGCCAUUUAAAGUGGUACGCGAGCUGGGUUUAGAACGUCGUGAGACAGUUCGGUCCCUAUCUGCCGUGGGCGCUGGAGAACUGAGGGGGGCUGCUCCUAGUACGAGAGGACCGGAGUGGACGCAUCACUGGUGUUCGGGUUGUCAUGCCAAUGGCACUGCCCGGUAGCUAAAUGCGGAAGAGAUAAGUGCUGAAAGCAUCUAAGCACGAAACUUGCCCCGAGAUGAGUUCUCCCUGA